AUUCAAAUAGCUUAGAGUUAGAGCGUGACACUGAAGAUGUUAAGGGGAUUAUUUUUGAUCUUUGAAUA
rnacentral:tRNA from 1 species